UCCUCGAUCCCAUUCCAGCACGCAUACCUCAUUAAUCUCUCGUCUUCCCGAGACAUCUCAACCAAACCCAAAAAUUCAUCUUUCGUUCCCGAGACAUCUCUCCUUUCUUCCUUCCAUGAAUUCCUCCAACUUCGCCGCCCGCCCCCGCCCCCCGCCAGCAAUUCCUCCACGCCGGCCACCGGCCCCGCGCCCGCGCCAAGCCAUAGAGGCUGCUGGCGUCAAGGACCUCCGCCCAAGGAGGCGCGGCCGUCGUACGAAGCGUCUGGAGCUGGGCGCCCCUCUCCCGCCGCCUCCCGCACCUGCGCCUUCGACCUACGCUCUCCAUUCCCGCGCCUCCCUUCCUGCCUCGACCCACCAGCCGUGGAGGCCAUGGCGACGGCCCAAGCAGCAGCAGCAGCAGCGGGAGAUGGACGACCUCCUCCACUGCGCCAUGGACGUCGACCUCACCCGUCUCCCUUUCGCGAGCUCCCGAUCCCAUCUCAUCUUCCCAUCCAGACCUCGGAUUUUUUUAUCAUCUUGCUCAUGUUCCUGCACGUUCUUGCAGAUAACGAAAAGGAGCUCAUGCUUCUAUUGCCCCCCCACCGUGUGUGCCAGGCGUCGGAUGCGCCGCUGCUCGGCGCGCACCAAGAACGCCAUCCCCAUCCCAGACAAAGUGACAAGGAGAGGUGGGGGAGGUGAUUGCGUGGAUGGCCAACAACAGGGGUGUUGCCUCCUAAUACCUUUCACCUCUGCCCUCGCUGCCGUGCGAUGGCAUGAGCGAUGGCCUUUCCGCUACGUCUCCUUAGUUUAUGUUGCUGUCAGCCUUGAGGCAGCGGCGAUGAUGGGCGGCAGUGGGUUAAGGGCAGGCAACUUGCUCUGCAUGUAGGAUGUCAGGACAAUGACGGCUGCGGCUGGAAGGUUGUGCAUGCAAGAAUCAAGAACCGACGACAGGAGGAGCUGUGGUUGGCGUACCUCUACCUUGAGGAGGAAGGAUGAAUCGACCCGGUGCUUGUGCUCCAUCGCAAGUGGUACUGGUGUGGCACCCUUGUUGCCAAGGGUCACCAUCGAUGCCCCGGUCACCGACAGCUUGUGUCACCGGAGAGAACAACGCCGUCUUUUCCACCGCUGCCACAGCAUAUCGCUGUUUGAACGGGGACGACCAUGACAUCGUCAAGAAGGGUACUGGAGGAAAAAGUAUCUACUGCUGCACCUUCAAUGAUGAGAACUUCAAAUAAUUUGACGAUUCAGUUUUUUUGGAUGAAAAUGGUGCCAUGCAGAUGAUGAGAUACGAGUUUAUAGCUUAGGAGGAAUGGUGGUACAGGCAGUGGCAGUGAUGGGCGUGAGCGGUUGGUUCAUGACCGCCAACAACUUGCUCUUACUCAGCUCAGACGAUGCUGGGUAUGAGAACGCAUAUGGCAAACCACUAGGGCAGAAGGUGAUAUCUUAACUGCGGUGCUGGAGCAUUUGAAUGUGCAGCUGGCAUCCCAUCCAUGUGAAGAUGGAGGGCAUAGACGGGAUGCUGGACUGGGUGAGGGUGCUCGCCUAGAGUGUCUCGGAAGAAGGCACCAUGGCCGCUGGAUUGGCAGAUUGGUACUUCAUGGCAGUGCGGGAGGCGGUGGCCAGGAAGACGGUUUGGCACGCAUCGGUGAUGAAUGGCCAGUUCUUGCAGUCACAGGUGAAUAGAGGUGUACUAUGUCAAGAAUAGGAAGUGACUAUGCCAGGAGUAUUGCCAGGUAGUUAGGAUCAUAUGGCACUUUGACUAGUUUGACUAGCUAGUAGCUAGUGCUUUUUCAUGGAUGCGUGAACUUGGGUGCUUCUUUUCUGCAAGUUGUGCUUCUAGGACCAACUCGAUUAGAAGAUUUUCUAAUGUAUUUUCAUGGUAGAUAUUGUUGAGAAAAUUCUGACCAUGGUAGAGGCUGCUGAUGAGAAGACGAUGAUCAUGGUGGAACCUGAUAAUAUCGACACAUGUUUCCAGAGGCUGGCAGUGAGCUAUACUCCUGAUCGUCUGGCCGUCAAGCCUCGUUCGAGCAUUGGUGGCUGGACGAGAUGCUAGAUGGAGCCGUCUACGGGUUGCCAUGGCGCUCAUGUAGGGGAUGCUUGUUUGGCCAAGCCGGCCAGAAUUGCUUUUUUAACUUGAUGGAUGUUAUGUGAUGUUGGUCAAGCUAGAUGUGUGUUCAUCGUCAGCUCUCCAAGACUAUUUUUGAUGUAUGGUAUUUUGAGAUGGGCAUGAUAGUAGCUAGCUAUGAUUGGUGUUGUGUUGUGUUCUUGCGGCAACCUCGAAUCAAUAUCUGAUCGGUCGAUGUGUAGGAAGCUAGAUAGCUUAUGCAUGGUGGGUUGAUUAACACACAUGAAUGCAUGAAUGCUUAUGUGUGGUAGAUUAACAUGAAUGCAAAUAACCAGAAUAACAAGCAGAA